rnacentral:rRNA from 1 species
AACGAACGCUGGCGGCAGGCUUAACACAUGCAAGUCGAACGCGAAAUCACCUUCGGGUGGUGGAGAGUGGCAGACGGGUGAGUAACGCGUGGGAAUCUACCUGAUGGUACGGAAUAACUCAGGGAAACUUGAGCUAAUACCGUAUGUGCCCGAAAGGGGAAAGAUUUAUCGCCAUCAGAUGAGCCCGCGUCGGAUUAGCUAGUUGGUGGGGUAACGGCCCACCAAGGCGACGAUCCGUAGCUGGUCUGAGAGGAUGAUCAGCCACACUGGGACUGAGACACGGCCCAGACUCCUACGGGAGGCAGCAGUGGGGAAUAUUGGACAAUGGGCGCAAGCCUGAUCCAGCCAUGCCGCGUGAGUGAUGAAGGCCCUAGGGUUGUAAAGCUCUUUCGGCGGGGACGAUAAUGACGGUACCCGCAGAAGAAGCCCCGGCUAACUUCGUGCCAGCCGCCGCCGUAA